AUCCUCCGCCUCGUCCCGCCCCCGCCGCCCUUCCCAAUUGGCCCCCCCGUCGGCCUCCGAGGCUCUCCUCUGCCAUUGGCGGCCUGGCCAGACCCGACUCCAAGUCGCCGCUGUUCAUUCGUUAUUUGCGCCGCCUAUCUUAACGGAGCGGCCCAGUAAGAGCGCCCAGCGAGAGGCACUGUCAAUCAGGGAGCGCCGGAGGCCAAUCAGAGUGGGAGGACUUCCGCGGCGCUGGCCUUAUGCGAGUUUCGGGGCGGGCCUUGGGUUCAUUCACAACAUUCCUCCCCCGCCCCCCUCGGGCUGGACAGCGCGCCCCGGGCAGCUGGAGCUGCGCCCACAUACGGCUUUGUUUACUGAGGGUCGCUUCCGGGCGCCGCGAGGGGACAAUCAACACGCUCGGCCGGGGAGCGAGACGGAGCGGCGGGACCCCCGCGCAGCAGCUCAGCCCCUUUUUCCUCUGGAGCCCCAAGACGCUAAUGGUGCACUGCUUUACACCCAGGACCUGAACAGCACCAGGCAAACAGCAGUCACUAAAUCUAUAACUCCUCGAGUGAACCGUGAACCUCUCAUGCUUUGCUCCCGUUCUGUUGACAUGAUCUAAGGAACAGGAAGAACCCAAGCUGGCCCCUACUGGCCUCAUUGCUGCCCCUCCUCAUGUGGAAACACUGGCUUCUACCUUCCAGGAAUUUCCAGCUUCACCGCGGCACUUUCCGGCCAGUCCCCCACCCAGUAAGCUCCCUCUAACCUGCACGGUGGCAUAGGGUCACCGCGGGCUACAAGUGGCCUUUGAGUCCCUGAAAUGGGGCUGGCUGAGUCGGGCAAUGCUGUUAAACACGGAGUGCGUUUUGAAGACUGAGGGGCGGGGAAAAGGGUCAAGUUUCUCACUAAGAACUUUUUCUAUUGAUUAGAUGUUAAAAUGAUGAUAUUUUAGCCCAGCUGGCAUGGCUCAGUUGUUGAGCGUCGACCUAUGGAGCAGGAGGUCAUGGUUUGAUUCCCAGUCAGGGCAUAUGCCCGGGUUGCAGGCAUGUGCAGGAGGCAGCCCAUCAAUGAUUCUCUCUCAUCAUUGAUGUUUUUCUCUCUCUCUCCCUCUCCCUUCCUCUCUGAAAUCAAUAAAAAAUAUAUUUAAAAAUG